UGCAGAGGUCCCAAGCGUUGUUCGGAUUUACUGGGCGUAAAGGGUGCGUAGGUGGUUGGGUAAGUCUGAUGUGAAAUCUCCGGGCUCAACCCGGAAAUGGCAUUGGAUACUAUUUGACUAGAGGGUUGGAGGGGGGACUGGAAUACUUGGUGUAGCAGUGAAAUGCGUAGAUAUCAAGUGGAACACCAGUGGCGAAGGCGAGUCCCUGGACAACUCCUGACACUGAGGCACGAAAGCUAGGGGAGCAAACAGG
rnacentral:rRNA from 1 species